UGCACUUUUUUUUUACCAGACUGCCCACUACUCCCAACUCCAGCUGCCAACUGGUCCUCCUGUACUGGCCCGCACAAGAGAUUUACAAAGAUGGCACAGACAAAGAACACAGGGAAUCCAUCCUGAACCUGCCAGCGAGGUGGUGGUGGUGCGAAAGCCCAAAACUGUGGUGAAAAGAUGUUUGCACUCCACGCUUUACAGAGCUUUCACAGGACCACUUCCAGAUCCUGACAUCCUGGCAUCGGGAGAAAAACAGCACCAGCUGGCAUCUCAACCAC